rnacentral:ncRNA from 2 species
AAAAUGCUUCAGGAUUGGGUGUAAUUCCCUCCCGGCGGUAAACCCCGCGAACCUAAAGGGUUGAACUAGUGAAAUUCUAGUGGCGACAGUAAAGUCUGGAUGAAAGAAGUUUUUU